CGGUUGAUCCUGCCGGAGGUCACCGCUAUUGGAAUUCGCUUAAGCCAUGCGAGUCUAAAGGACUUCGGUCCUUGGCUGACGGCUCAGUAACACGCGGAUAAUCUGCCCUUGGGUGGGGGAUAAGCUCGGGAAACUGAGUAUAAUACCCCAUAGGUCUAGAAUGCUGGAAUGCAUCUAGGCUCAAAGUUUCGGCGCCCAAGGAUGAGUCUGCGGCCUAUCAGGUUGUAGUGGGUGUAAAGUACCUACUAGCCUACGACGGGUACGGGCCUUGAGAGAGGUUGCCCGGAGAUGGAAUCUGAGACACGAUUCCAGGCCCUACGGGGCGCAGCAGGCGCGAAAACUUCGCAAUGUGGGAAACCACGACGAGGGAAUUCCAAGUGCAUGCACAUUGUGUAUGCUGUUCAAUUGUCUAAAAAACAUAUGAAGUAAGGGCUGGGUAAGACGGGUGCCAGCCGCCGCGGUAAUACCCGCAGCCCGAGUGGUGAUCGUUAUUAUUGAGCCUAAAGCGUCCGUAGCUGGUUCGUUAAAUCCUUGGGUAAAUCGGGUAGCUUAACUAUUCGAAUUCCGAGAAGACUGACGGACUUGGGACUGGGAGAGGUCAGAGGUACUCCAGGGGUAGGGGCUAAAUCCUGUAAUCCUUGGGGGACCACCAGUGGCGAAGGCGUCUGACUAGAACAGAUCCGACAGUAAGGGACGAAGCCCUGGGUCGCAAACCGGAUUAGAUACCCGGGUAGUCCAGGGUGUAAACGCUGCANGCUUGGUGUU
rnacentral:rRNA from 1 species